CCAGCUCCCCCUUCGUCUUCCACCAUGAUUGUAAGCUUCCUGAGGCCUCACUAGAAGAUGAACAGAUGCCAACACCAUGCUUCCUGUAAAAUCUUCAGAACGUAAUGUUCCUGUCUUGCCAUGAACAUGAGAGAGUUUAUCAGCCAAGAAUUGUAACAUAGCAACAACAGAAACUUUCUUUGACCAACAUAAGAAGGAAAGGACUUUAUUAAAGGGCUUUUAGAGAACUACAGAAUCACCACCAGGAAGGUUGGAGAACCGGUUGCAGAAAAUGAGCCACGGCAAGGAAGGCUCGGCCACCAGGACCUCAGCUAAAAUUGUGCCCAAUAUGAGUUUGGCAGGCAUUGCUAUUGUUACUCAUGAAUGCUAGAUAUUCCAGCUUACACCCCUCCUGUGGUCACCUUGGGUACUGCUGCCCUGGUAUAUGGACAUUGCUGCCACCAUUGCCACUGUCGGCCAGAAUGUGUUCUCUGGAGCCCCAUUUCUGUGUAUUCUUUCUUUUCAAUUAAAUGAUGUGUGCAUUUAAUUUGCUGAGACCAGGACAUGUGCCAACUUCCAAAAUGCAAGUGGGGCUAGAAAAGUGUGUAUCUGGUCUUUUGGCUUCUAAAAGAAAGGCAGACUCUGCCUUUCACCUGGACCAUAUGGUGGUGAAUUGGUGAAUUCACUAAGCAUAGAAAAUAGUUUAGAUUCCAGAAUGCCCCAAAGCAACUAAUAUGUACUAAUUAAGAGAUAAAAUAUAGCAAUAAUCAAAGUGUUCACAAUGGAAUAGAGCCUGUUAUAGAUCCCUCUCAUCUGUCAAAGGAUUAAACAUUUGAUGUGAUGUGGCAUAUGCAGCCUGUUUUUCUCAGGACACAUUUGUCAGUCUCUUUAUUUAGAAGUGACAUUGCACAAACUAAGCUUCAGCAUCCCACUGCCUUUUCCUCCCUUGACUAUGUCUGUGGUGGAACUGUGAGAGACAAAGCCAUUCUGUGAAUAUCUGGUGAGUCCUGAAUAGGCACUGCAAGGCCCAUUUUCUUGAUGCUAUUCCCCAAGGGGCACUGAAGUGGUCUGAACAUGGAAAGUCACAUGAUGUGCUAGCCACCAAAGUGCAGCAGCAUUUGCUGGGUCUCCAAUUUGACCUCAUUGCAUUUCAAUGUGAAAAUUCUGUUCUCUGUGGGCUAGACUGCAUGACAAACAGGCAGGGCCUUUAUGGAUAAUUCAAGCUCCAGUAGUUUCUCAGCUCAGAUGGAACCGCACUGGCUUUGCUAGACUGGAAAACAGAUUAUAAACUGCAAACUCAUUUAUUCUACAAAUGUUUGCUGUGCUUAGGCAAAGCAGUUUCCCAUAAUUUCUUCAUUUCCUUCUAGAGUCAAAUUGGCUCUCUUUGAACAUUUUCUCAUAAGAUAGUUCCAGUGAAUAUUAGAGCUGGAAAGAAUAAAAGAAUUGUGCUUUGUCUGCAUGAACAGAGUGGGGGACAUAACUUUUCUUCAUUUGUAGUAUGCUGACCAUGGUUUAUUCAGAGUUUGCUCGGCUAUGCUGCAGUAACCAAUUAACCCCCAAAUCUCAAUGAUUUAACACCACAUGAAGUUAUUUCCCAGCCACACCUCAUGUCCAACAUGCUUUGCCACAGGCUUCUGCUCCAUCCAAUUUAGUGUCACAAAUAUCUACAGAGCUUUAUAUGAACACAGAGGAAUGGUACCUAACCUAGCUUGGACUGAAGUACAGAGACUUUCUGGAAGACGUGAAGCCUGAGAUAAGACUUCAAAUAUGAGAAGCCAUUAGCAAGAGUUGCUUUAACUUAAGCAAAAUUACCGAAG
rnacentral:lncRNA from 1 species